rnacentral:rRNA from 1 species
AUGGAGGAAUUUUGUCAACAUGAGCACAUCCGGCUUGAUAUAGUGUCAGUGGCUCACCCCCAGUCUAAUGGUCAAGCUGAGAGGGCAAAUCAAGAAAUUUUGAAAGGUAUCAAACCCCGGCUUAUGGUUCCUUUAAAGCGGACACCGAGUUGUUGGGUGGAGGAGUUACCUUCUGUGUUAUGGAGUAUCAACACCACACCAAACAGAUCGACGGGUUAUACACCUUUCUUCAUGGUUUAUGGAGCAGAGGCCGUUCUUUCUAGUGACAUCUGUCAUGACUCGCCCCGUGUGGCGUGCUACCUCUUUUAG